rnacentral:rRNA from 1 species
GACGAACGCUGGCGGCGUGCUUAACACAUGCAAGUCGAACGGAAAGGCCCUGCUUUUGUGGGGUGCUCGAGUGGCGAACGGGUGAGUAACACGUGAGUAACCUGCCCUUGACUUUGGGAUAACUUCAGGAAACUGGGGCUAAUACCGGAUAGGAGCUCCUGCUGCAUGGUGGGGGUUGGAAAGUUUCGGCGGUUGGGGAUGGACUCGCGGCUUAUCAGCUUGUUGGUGGGGUAGUGGCUUACCAAGGCUUUGACGGGUAGCCGGCCUGAGAGGGUGACCGGCCACAAUGGGACUGAGAUACGGACCAGACUCGUACGGGAGGCAGCAGUGGGGAAUAUUGCGCAGUGGGCGGAAGCCUGAUGCAGCAACGCUGCGUGCGGGAUGAAGGCCUUCGGGUGGUAAACCGCUUUCGCCUGUGACGAAGCGUGAGUGACGGUAAUGGGUAAAGAAGCACCGGCUAACUACGUG